rnacentral:lncRNA from 1 species
CUGUAGGAGUGUUUCGGUUCUUCUCUCCCAGCGAGAUCGCCAAUCCCAGAAAGAGAUUAGCUGGGGACCCGGGGGAGGAUGCCAAGCUGGUCUCCCGCACUUUCUCUCAACCUGGGAGUUGGGGCUGCCCGGAAUCCCGGGCCCUUGCGAGAGGCAGGCCUCUGCUCCUCCUCCGCAGGGGCCAUACCCCUCACACACGCCCUCCCACGACACACACGCCAUCAAUCUAGCCGAUAGGCGCCGCUCCCACGCGCACACCCCUGCCCCUCGCACGAGGGGGCCCUGUCGCCAGGCCCCUUCCCUGGCACUCCCACCCCCGCCCGCUGCUGAGGCUCCAGAUGGCGGCUUCUUGCGCUCGGCUCGCGGGCCCCCAGACGCCGCCCGGCAGCAGCCGGCGGUCGCUCCCUCCCUCCCAGCUGCUGCGGCGGAGAGCCGGACCACUUUGCAAGGCAGACGGGCUCCUCCGCAAGCUCUCAUUGGGGCGGGAGUGUGGCCGCGGGUGGCGCGGGGAUGCCGAGGGACCCGCGGGAGCUUCGCUCUGGGUAAAGGAGCCCUGCGGCCGCAGGUAAGGAAGCCGCAGAGAGCUGCUCAGGGAAUAGAUGGGGAAGCCUGACACUGGGGACCACCCCCACCUACCCCCACUGUCUCCCUUGUCCUUUUUUUCCGUCCCAACCACCGAGCCAGGGUCAAUUGCUGGACCAGAGCACCCACGCGACAGCAGGGAGCGGCUUCGCGGACGCCAGAAGGGGGCGCCCAGCACCCCAAAACCCGGGCAGGAGGCAGCCUCUGCCUGGGCGUCCCGCCCAGCCCAGCUGAAGGCUGCUUCGAUCGGAAAGGUGCCCCCUUCUGCCUGAGAGCAGUAAUACCUACCGCCAGCCGCGACCACCUACUUGUCCAUUUUUCUCCUCUCAACUCACUGCUCGCACUACCACCCUUGCACGCGCUCGCUCUUUUUCAGAGUCUCCCCCCCCCUCUCUCUCUGUCUCUCCUCUCCCUACCCUCAUUCUUUCCUGGUUUUCUUCCUUCUCUCCGAUUUUCCCCCUUGGGUUCCUACACCGAUUCUGUGAGGUUUUAUGUGCCCCUAAAAGGUGGCGUGGAGGUCAUGUGUUUCAGGCUCCUCUCCCUAGGUGCCUCCUUGGGUGGCCCCGAAAGCAGCCCUGAGGAAGGCAACUAUUGGAGGUUGACGUCAUUCUGUUCCGGGGAUAGGAGACAGCAACAGUUUGCUAUAUACAGAUACACAAGGAAAACCAAAGCUAUUCAGGCUCCUCAUUUGUCCAGCAGCCUAACAGUGGUGCCCUUUCUGUGCGGCUGCUUUCCCUGCUUCAGGAGCAGCAGUUAUGGUAGAAGCAGAUGGCUACUGAUUGGGGGAGCUUUGUGGCUCUAAUGCUGAAUACUUUAUGGAAAAGGACUUUAUCAUGCUUCGUUGGGCAGAGGAACAAGGGGAUGAGAUUUAUGGCCAGGAAAAAUAAAUCUUUUUCCAAGUUGUGGCUCCUUCU